UACCAGCACCCCGAGUGGUCGGGACGAUUAUUGGGCCUAAAGCAUCCGUAGCCGGUCCUACAAGUCUUCCGUUAAAUCCACCUGCUUAACAGAUGGGCUGCGGAAGAUACUAUAGGGCUAGGAGGCGGGAGAGGCAAGCGGUACUCAGUGGGUAGGGGUAAAAUCCUCUGAUCCAUUGAAGACCACCAGUGGCGAAGGCGGCUUGCCAGAACGCACUCGACGGUGAGGGAUGAAAGCUGGGGGAGCAACCGG
rnacentral:rRNA from 1 species